UACAGAGGGUGCGAGCGUUAAUCGGAAUUACUGGGCGUAAAGCGUGCGCAGGCGGUGAUGUAAGACCGAUGUGAAAUCCCCGGGCUUAACCUGGGAACUGCAUUGGUGACUGCAUUGCUGGAGUAUGGCAGAGGGGGGUGGAAUUCCACGUGUAGCAGUGAAAUGCGUAGAGAUGUGGAGGAACACCGAUGGCGAAGGCAGCCCCCUGGGCCAAUACUGACGCUCAUGCACGAAAGCGUGGGGAGCAAACAGG
rnacentral:rRNA from 1 species